rnacentral:rRNA from 1 species
GACGAACGCUGGCGGCGUGCUUAACACAUGCAAGUCGAACGAAGUGGCGAACGGGUGAGUAACGCGUAAUCAACCUGCCCUUCAGAGGGGGCCAACAGUUGGAAACGACUGCUCAUACCGCAUACUGAAGGAGGGGCUUGCGUUCGAUUCGCUAGUUGGAGGGGUAACGGCCCACCAAGGCGAUGCUCAGUAGGCGGUCCGAGAGGAUGAACGGCCACAAUGGGACUGAGACACGGCCCAGACUCCUACGGGAGGCAGCAGGGGGGAAUCUUCCGCAAUUGACGAAAGUCUGACGGGGCAACGCCGCGGGAGGGAUGACGGGCUUCGGGUCGGAAAGCUCUGUUAAUCGGGACGCGGUACCGGAAUAGAAAGCCACGGCUAACUACGUGCCAGCAGCCGCGGUAAUAC